rnacentral:lncRNA from 1 species
UUUAAGGGCUGGCAGCUGAAAGGAAAGCAUCUUUGCUUGGUGAUUGUUUCCUAUGGGAGUUUCCAGUGAGUCCUGAUCCUUGGAAAGGGGUCGCGGGUAGGAGAGGUGCACUCAAUUCUGGCCAAAGGCCAACCUGCUGGACCAUCAGCAUGCUCCUCUUGCUUCAUGUGGCCAAAGAGACUGAACUCUGACCAGGGACUGCUGAUGGGUUACACAGAAAAAGAGAAAGUCCCAAAUGUGGGAUCCUCCUACUUCAGUCAGAAGCUUUGGCUGUUCAGCUGAUUUAAUUUUGUAGCUGAAAAUAUUACUAGCAGUAAUAAAUUUGUCUGCCACUUUGGAAACACAGCCAGUGAGAACUUAUUCCCCUUUGUCACGAGAUGUAAAAAGAUGGGGAAAGGCUACAGUCUUAAAACAAAAUUCUUCACCAGAGAGCUGCAUAUAUUGCUACGUAUCAGUCAUGGGAGAAGAAUGCUUGUAGUCAUCCACUGCGGGUGUAGCUAGAAACGCCUAUUGAAAGGAUUCAAACAGGCAGCACACAGACACCAAAAUGGUUGUGUUGGGUCAGAUUCUUAUCUGGCCGAUAUUGGAUACUGACAUGGAGCAUCUCCUUUACACAUCACAUUUCUGCACAAGUGAGGUCACAUUCAGUUCUUACAUCUGGCACUUGGACCUCUGUGGGACCAAACCUCAGGAAGAGUUGUCUGUGGCAAGGAAAGGAGUAACAAACAGUCAGACCCUUACACAUGCUGACUGGUAGCAUUUCCUUCUCAAGUAGUUUGCAAAGGCACUCACUGAAUUAUUGCUUGGCUUUUUGCACAUCUCCCCUUGCUUCUAUGAGGGUAGGAGUAGCCCUGGUUUCCCACACCUGUAACAAUCUUGAAAAUUUAAAUCCACAUGGAACAAACAUGUAAAUUGUGCUUUCCCAAGAAGGUGUGUUCUACAAAAUUCUGUAAAAACAGGUCUCUCUGUGUAAUAAACUGCAGAUCUGUUUACCUCUGCAACUCCGGCCUGGUGGCCUUGUUCCAACAGUCCAACCUCGGACAACCAAUAUUUUUAAAGAGUAAAAAAAUAUGUUCUU